AAUGAACGUUGGCGGCGUGGAUUAGGCAUGCAAGUCGUGCGAGAACCGUAGCAAUACGGAGACAGCGGCGAAAGGGAGAGGAAUACGUGGAUACCUACCCUCAGGUUCAGGAUAGCCAUGGGAAACUAUGGGUAAUACUGAAUAAUAUCUCCGGAUCAAAGGUGUGAUUCCACCUGAGGAGGGGUACGCGUCCUAUUAGCUAGUUGGUGAGGUAACGGCUCACCAAGGCGAAGAUGGGUAUGGGAUGUGAGAGCAUGAUCCCACUCACUGGGACUGAGACACUGCCCAGACACCUACGGGUGGCUGCAGUCGAGAAUCUUCGGCAAUGGGGGCAACCCUGACCGAGCGACGCCGCGUGCGAGAUGAAGGCCUUCGGGUUGUAAAUCGCUGUCAGAGGGGAGGAAAUGCUAGUGGGUUCUCCCACUAGUUUGACCUAGCCUCAGAGGAAGGACGGGCUAAGUUCGUGCCAGCCGCCGCAGUAACAC
rnacentral:rRNA from 1 species